GGUUUUUUCCAAAAGUCCGACACCUAGUUAAGAUAUUGGGGCUUUUUCGAAAGCCCAAUUCUCUCUCUCUCGCCUCCCUUAUUUCUCUCUUCUCCCUAAACACGCACCAAAACCCAGAACCCUUCUCCAUGUGUAGCCUCUUCCAAAUCCAAAGACUACUCAUCGCCGUUCUUGCUGUCCACCUUUUCUAGUCGAACAACAGUCAAUUGAACUCCCUCUUCACCAUUUAUCGGUUGAACAGUAAAGCCGUCCAACCACCACCUCCUUUGCCUAGUUCUUGUCCUUCUUUCUGGUUCUUAUUUUCUCUCUAUCCGAUUCAAACAAAUCCCAUUCGAAAACAUCGAACUCAAAUAUUUGAAAAAAUUUGUAAUCCAUUUCGAAUAAUUUUUAUGGUUCGAAAGAAAAAUCUAAUAUCGAAUAUUUGAGUACAACCCUCCUGAACAUGAUCUCGUCUUCUUUAUCUCUCAUUCUUCACCCACUAAAAUUGUUCAUCUCCCUCUUUAUGGUUAUUGGCAUCUCUGUUUGCGCCUUCCAUGCUGUGCUGCAACCGUCGAAAGCAUAAAAGAGUGGAGAGUAGUUGGAGAUCCUCUAUAUCCUUCCCUUUUAAUUAAUUGGGAUGAUCUCCCC
rnacentral:lncRNA from 1 species